AAUCAAGCUAAGAAGGGCAUAUGGUGGAUGCCUUGGCACCAGCCGGCGAUGAAGGACGCGGAUAGCUGCGAAAAGCUUCGGGGAGCCGCUAAACAGGCAUUGAUCCGGAGAUUUCCGAAUGGGGAAACCCGGCGGGGGUAAAUACCCCGUCAUCCUUGACUGAAUACAUAGGUCAAGCGAAGUCAACGAGGGGAAGUGAAACAUCUCAGUACCCUCAGGAAAAGAAAGUAAGACAACGAUUCUCCAAGUAGUGGCGAGCGAAAGGGGAAGAGCCCAAACCGCGAGUGCGUGACAGGUUGCAACCGUUUCACUUGCGGGGUUGUGGGUGCAUGCUUGAAGGCAUUGCAAUGCCUUCGGGGAGUUACAAAAGUCAUUGGUAGGAGAAGCUUCUGGGAAGGAGCGCCAAAGAGGGUGACAGCCCUGUAUCCGAAAAUAAUGACUCUCCCUUGUGUGUUACCCGAGUACCGCGGGACACGUGAAAUCCCGUGGGAAGCCGGAAGGACCAUCUUCCAAGGCUAAAUACGAGCUGGUGACCGAUAGUGAACAAGUACCGUGAGGGAAAGGUGAAAAGCACCCCGUUAAGGGGGGUGAAAUAGUAUCUGAAACCAUGUGCCUACAAUCUGUGGGAGCCCUAUGGCCGCAAGGCAAUGGGUGACUGCGUGCCUUUUGCAUAAUGAGUCAGCGAGUUACUUUGUGCAGCGAGGUUAAGCCGAUAGAGGUGGAGCCGAAGCGAAAGCGAGUCUUAAUAGGGCGUCGAGUUGCACGGAGUAGACCCGAAACCGGGUGAUCUAUCCAUGUCCAGGGUAAAGCUGGGGUAAGACCCAGUGGAGGCCCGAACCGUAGAAGGUUGAAAACUUCCCGGAUGAGGUGUGGAUAGGGGUGAAAGGCCAAUCAAACUCGGUGAUAGCUGGUUCUCCCCGAAAUAUAUUGAGGUAUAGCCUCGCACGGUAGCCGACGGAGGUAGAGCACUGGAUGGGCUAGGGCCCUUACCGGGGUACCAAACCUAACCAAACUCCGAAUGCCGUUGGUGGAACUGCGGGAGUCAGACUGCGGGGGAUAAGCUCCGUAGUCGAGAGGGAAAAAGCCCAGACCGACAGCUAAGGUCCCAAAAUACAUGCUAAGUGGGAAAGGAUGUAGGACUACCCAGACAGCCAGGAGGUUGGCUUAGAAGCAGCCAUCCUUUAAAGAAAGCGUAAUAGCUCACUGGUCGAGUGGGCCCGCGCCUAAGAUGUAACGGGGCUCAAGCAUGAUACCGAAGCUUCGGAUUUGCACUUUAGUGCAAGUGGUAGGGGAGCGUUCCUUCAGGGAAGAAGCCUGACCGUAAGGACCGGUGGACUUGAAGGAAGUGCUUAUGCUGACAUGAGUAGCGAUAAAGCGGGUGAGAAUCCCGCUCGCCGAAAACCUAAGGUUUCCUGGGGAAGGUUCGUCCGCCCAGGGUAAGUCGAUACCCUAAGCCGAGGCCGAAAGGCGUAGGUGAUGGGAAACAGGUUAAUAUUCCUGUACCGCCGCAUUCGCGUUACUACCGAAGGGGGGACGCAGCAGGGCAGGUUGGCCGGGUGUUGGACAUCCCGGUUUAAGCACGUAGGCGGGGGACCCAGGCAAAUCCGGGACCCCAUUAAAACGCCGAGAUGCGAAUACGAGGCCGCUUCAGGCCGAAGCAACUGAUCCCACACUGCCGAGAAAAUCCUCUAGGGAGUUGAUGAGGCGAUCGUACCGCAAACCGACACAGGUAGGUGAGGAGAGAAUCCUAAGGCGCGUGAGAGAACUCUGGCUAAGGAACUCGGCAAAAUAACACCGUAACUUAGGGAGAAGGUGUGCCCCUGUAGGGUGAAGGGACUUGCUCCUGGAGCCCCAAAGGGUUGCAUAGAAAUGGCGGUAGCGACUGUUUAUCAAAAACACAGGACUCUGCUAAGUCACAAGACGAUGUAUAGGGUCUGACGCCUGCCCGGUGCCGGAAGGUUAAGGAGAGAGGUCAGCGC
rnacentral:rRNA from 1 species